rnacentral:ncRNA from 1 species
ACUAGUAGAGGAUAGAAAGGCUUCUAUCGCCCUCUUCGAUAAAUCAGGGAGAUGUGGGAAACCGAACGGAUAAGUUACGGAGCUGCCCCACCUACUAGU